rnacentral:rRNA from 1 species
AGCAAUGGGAGAAAGCCGGAAGGAGGGACGCCGAUUGUGGAAUUAAGCUUUUGGGAGUGUAAAGCACUUUUAAGGGGGAAGAAUUAUGACGGUACCUGAAGAAUAAGGGGUUGCUAACCUCGUGCCAGCAGCAGCGGUAAUACGAGGGCCCCGAGCCUUAUCCGGAAUUAUUGGGGGUAAAGGGUUUGUAGGUGGUUUUGUUUAUCUUUUGUUAAAUUUUUCAGCUUAACCGGGGGCCCGCGGGAGAAACAGUUAAACUUGAGGUUGGGGGGGGUAAAUGGAAUUCAUGGAGUAGGGGUUAAAUCCGUUAAUAUCAGCGGGAACACCAAAAGCGAAGGCAAUUUACUGGGGUAUUCCUGACACUAAGACAACGAAAGCGU